rnacentral:rRNA from 1 species
UAGGGAAUCUUCCACAAUGGACGCAAGUCUGAUGGAGCAACGCCGCGUGAGUGAAGAAGGUUUUUCGGACCGUAAAGCUCUGUUGUUGGUGAAGAAGGAUAGAGGUAGUAACUGGCCUUUAUUUGACGGUAAUCAACCAGAAAGUCACGGCUAACUACGUGCCAGCAGCCGCGGUAAUACGUAGGUGGCAAGCGUUGUCCGGAUUUAUUGGGCGUAAAGCGAGCGCAGGCGGAAGAAUAAGUCUGAUGUGAAAGCCCUCGGCUUAACCGAGGAAUUGCAUCGGAAACUGUUUUUCUUGAGUGCAGAAGAGGAGAGUAGGAACUCCAUGUGUAGCGGUGGAAUGCGUAGAUAUAUGGAAGAAUACCAGUGGCGAAGGCGGCUCUCUGGUCUGCAACUGACGCUGAGGCUCGAAAGCAUGGGUAGCGAACAGGAUUAGAUACCCUUGGUA